rnacentral:rRNA from 1 species
AGCAGCCGCCGCGGUAAUACGUAGGGUGCAAGCGUUAAUCGGAAUUACUGGGCGUAAAGCGUGCGCAGGCGGUUAUAUAAGACAGAUGUGAAAUCCCCGGGCUCAACCUGGGAACUGCAUUUGUGACUGUAUAGCUAGAGUACGGCAGAGGGGGAUGGAAUUCCGCGUGUAGCAGUGAAAUGCGUAGAUAUGCGGAGGAACACCGAUGGCGAAGGCAAUCCCCUGGGCCUGUACUGACGCUCAUGCACGAAAGCGUGUGGAGCAAACAGGAUUAGAUACCCCGGUAGUCCCUGUCUCUUAUAC